CCUUCCACGCUCCCGCGAGGCAGGCCAAUGAUGGUUCCAAAGUUCCAGAUGGGAAAUCAGAAGCUCCGAGUGUUUAAAUGACCUGCCGCAGACCCAGGCAAGCAUGGCGGAGUGGGGCGCACAGCCAGCCUGCUUCUUGCCGCAUCCUAUGCUCUAACAGGUCGCUAUAUUAUUGCCCGGAUGCGAACAGUGUCUCAAACGCAGGACAUUCUGAUGGACCUUGUGAAAGGCCAUGCCCCUAGCACCACCAGGACAGCUCCCAGCGCGGAGUAUCCGUGUGCCACACACCGUGCCAUCGUCUGUGGACCUGGCGCUUCCAAGUACCACCCCUGAUGGCACCUGGAACACAAUCACCCAUGUGGUCUGGGCGACUCCUGCCUCUGCUGCCUGGGACACCCAGGAGGCUGCACCCAGGUGACCGAGCAGCCCGAGCAGGUGCUAGAGCAUCCAGCAACCCCCGCUCCUCUUCUUUCAUUAGGAUGUCAGCCCAGGAAGCUGUGAACCCAAGUUCACACGGCACCCCAGAGCCACAGGAGGGUGCAGGGUCCCUGGGUCAUUUCUUCAAGGCAAAGUGUAUUUCUCCAGACACUUGAUUCAUUUCUUGAUCAGAGAGCUAGACAGAGGAAUAAGGACAGGUGUGCCAAAUAGGAAAGGGGGUGGGGGCCAGUCACAGUCGAUAGUAUGAGAAUUCACAGGAACGCUCACCUUGUCAUUCCAAGACAUGCUUUGGGCAGACCUAGAAAUGCCCCAUGUGCUACCGCCUGGCCUCGUUUCCUUUCUGCCACACAGAGAGCCCUAAUGACACGUGCUCCCCAGCAUAACGCGGAAGAUGCAACAGCAGAAAACGAAUGUUUAAUAAAAUG